CAUGCAAGUCGAGCGGAAACGAUGAUAGCUUGCUAUCAGGCGUCGAGCGGCGGACGGGUGAGUAAUACUUAGGAAUCUACCUAGUAGUGGGGGAUAGCACGGGGAAACUCGUAUUAAUACCGCAUACGACCUACGGGAGAAAGGGGGCAGUUUACUGCUCUCGCUAUUAGAUGAGCCUAAGUCGGAUUAGCUAGAUGGUGGGGUAAAGGCCUACCAUGGCGACGAUCUGUAGCUGGUCUGAGAGGAUGAUCAGCCACACCGGGACUGAGACACGGCCCGGACUCCUACGGGAGGCAGCAGUGGGGAAUAUUGGACAAUGGGGGAAACCCUGAUCCAGCCAUGCCGCGUGUGUGAAGAAGGCCUUUUGGUUGUAAAGCACUUUAAGCAGUGAAGAAGACUCUUCGGUUAAUACCCGGAGACGAUGACAUUAGCUGCAGAAUAAGCACCGGCUAACUCUGUGCCAGCAGCCGCGGUAAUACAGAGGGUGCAAGCGUUAAUCGGAAUUACUGGGCGUAAAGGGAGCGUAGGUGGCUCGAUAAGUCAGAUGUGAAAUCCCCGGGCUCAACCUGGGAACUGCAUCUGAUACUGUUGAGCUAGAGUAUGUGAGAGGAAGGUAGAAUUCCAGGUGUAGCGGUGAAAUGCGUAGAGAUCUGGAGGAAUACCGAUGGCGAAGGCAGCCUUCUGGCAUAAUACUGACACUGAGGCUCGAAAGCGUGGGUAGCAAACAGGAUUAGAUACCCUGGUAGUCCACGCCGUAAACGAUGUCUACUAGUCGUUGGGUCCCUUGAGGACUUAGUGACGCAGCUAACGCAAUAAGUAGACCGCCUGGGGAGUACGGCCGCAAGGUUAAAACUCAAAUGAAUUGACGGGGGCCCGCACAAGCGGUGGAGCAU
rnacentral:rRNA from 1 species